rnacentral:rRNA from 1 species
GUUGUACUGCUUCUAACCGUCUGUUAAGUCAGACAA